UACAGAGGGUGCAAGCGUUAAUCGGAAUUACUGGGCGUAAAGCGCACGUAGGCGGUUUUUUAAGUCAGAUGUGAAAGCCCCGGGCUCAACCUGGGAAUUGCAUUUGAAACUGGGAAACUAGAGUGUGUGAGAGGGGGGUAGAAUUCCAAGUGUAGCGGUGAAAUGCGUAGAGAUUUGGAGGAAUACCAGUGGCGAAGGCGGCCCCCUGGCACAACACUGACGCUCAGGUGCGAAAGCGUGGGAAGCAAACAGG
rnacentral:rRNA from 1 species